rnacentral:RNase_P_RNA from 1 species
AAACCCCACCCGGAGCAAGACCGAAUAGGAGGGGGCGUCCGUUAGAGACGCAAGAACGGCCCGUUCUACCCUCGGGUACGGUCGCUUGAGGCGGCAGGUAACUGUCGUCCCAGAUAAAUGGUUACCACUGAUUGCCAUCCAUUAGGUAAUCAGCACAGAACUCGGCUUAUAGGUCGGUUGGCAAC